rnacentral:rRNA from 1 species
CGAACGGGUGAGUAACACGUGGGUGAUCUGCCCUGCACUUUGGGAUAAGCCUGGGAAACUGGGUCUAAUACCGAAUAUACCUCGCUGGCCGCAUGGUCUGGUGGGGGAAAGCUUUUGCGGUGUGGGAUGGGCCCGCGGCCUAUCAGCUUGUUGGUGGGGUGAUGGCCUACCAAGGCGACGACGGGUAGCCGGCCUGAGAGGGUGACCGGCCACACUGGGACUGAGAUACGGCCCAGACUCCUACGGGAGGCAGCAGUGGGGAAUAUUGCACAAUGGGCGCAAGCCUGAUGCAGCGACGCCGCGUGGGGGAUGACGGCCUUCGGGUUGUAAACCCCUUUCAGCACAGACGAAGCGCGAGUGACGGUAUGUGCAGAAGAAGGACCGGCCAACUACGUGCCAGCAGCCGCGGUAAUACGUAGGGUCCGAGCGUUGUCCGGAAUUACUGGGCGUAAAGAGCUCGUAGGUGGUUUGUCGCGUUGUUCGUGAAAACUCACAGCUCAACUGUGGGCGUGCGGGCGAUACGGGCAGACUGGAGUACUGCAGGGGAGACUGGAAUUCCUGGUGUAGCGGUGGAAUGCGCAGAUAUCAGGAGGAACACCGGUGGCGAAGGCGGGUCUCUGGGCAGUAACUGACGCUGAGGA